rnacentral:rRNA from 1 species
CCUACGGGUGGCAGCAGUGAGGAAUAUUGGUCAAUGGGAGGAAUCCUGAACCAGCCAUGCCGCGUGCAGGACGACGGCUCUACGAGUUGUGAACUGCUUUUGUACCGGGGUAAAAUGCCUUACGUGUAGGGUUUUGCAAGUACGGUACGCAUAAGGAUCGGCUAACUCCGUGCCAGCAGCCGCGGUAAUACGGAGGAUCCGCGCGUUAUCCGGAUUCAUUGGGUUUAAGGGGUGCGUAGGUUGUUUUAUAAGUUAGCGGUGAAAUACCGAUGCUCAACAUCGGGGCUGCCGCUAAUACUGUAGGACGAGAGAUCGGAUGCAGCAGGCGGAAUGUGUAGUGUAGCGGUGAAAGGCAUAGAUAUUACACAGAACACCGAUUGCGAAGGCAGCUUGCUAGGCCGGAUCUGACACUGAUGCACGAAAGCGUGGGGAUCGAACAGGAUUAGAUACCCUUGUAGUC